AACGAACGCUGGCGGCAGGCUAAACACAUGCAAGUCGAGCGGAGAUGAGGUGCUUGCACCUUAUCUUAGCGGCGGACGGGUGAGUAAUGCUUAGGAAUCUGCCUAUUAGUGGGGGACAACAUUCCGAAAGGAAUGCUAAUACCGCAUACGCCCUACGGGGGAAAGCAGGGGAUCUUCGGACCUUGCGCUAAUGGAUGAGCCUAAGUCGGAUUAGCUAGUUGGUGGGGUAAAGGCCUACCAAGGCGACGAUCUGUAGCGGGUCUGAGAGGAUGAUCCGCCACACUGGGACUGAGACACGGCCCAGACUCCUACGGGAGGCAGCAGUGGGGAAUAUUGGACAAUGGGCGGAAGCCUGAUCCAGCCAUGCCGCGUGUGUGAAGAAGGCCUUUUGGUUGUAAAGCACUUUAAGCGAGGAGGAGGCUUCCUGGAUUAAUACUCUAGGAUAGUGGACGUUACUCGCAGAAUAAGCACCGGCUAACUCUGUGCCAGCCGCCGCCGUAAGAC
rnacentral:rRNA from 1 species